rnacentral:lncRNA from 1 species
AGUCAUUCCAUUUUUUUCAAUUAAGUUUAUAAAAGAGGGUUACUUUAACUUAUAACUCACCUACAAGUCCUAAUGAGCUCUUGGCGUUCAUCGUUGUUGGUAGUCGUUUUCCGUUUACGUUUUACAAAAAUUUACAUAAAACCAAGGGCUAAAUAAAAUCAAACAUGUCCACAAUCAUUAUUGAGUAUCUAGUUUUAAAAACGCGUCCGAUGACCCUUCCUCCGAAACAACAUUUCCGACAUGAUUUAGUGUAAAAAUAGAACAUGGAGGUAAAAUGCAAGACAUGAUCUACAAAUUAGCAUUAACACAUCAGUCGUCUCCUUAUUGAAGUUCUUGCCCUCUGAUAACGAUAUUUACUUUUUUUGUUUUUUUGUCUUAUAUCUUAAAAACCAUAAUAAAUAGAUAGAAACUCGAUUCAGCAAAAACGAUCAUCAAGACAACAUCUACAAGUAAGGCAACAUAACUGAAAUUUUCAAUUAAAUGGUGUGUAGCUCUUUAAAGACAUAAUAGAUACAGAGAAAUUUAGUAUAGCAUAAAUGAUCAGCAAGACCUGAUUUAUAAACAUUCCUUAAUUUGUCCUGAAUGGUAUUUUAAUCCACAGUGUUAGAGAGAGUCUAUAGAGAGAGUCUAUUGAUGAAGAUGUGCAUAGACCUAAGUGAGCGACACAGGCUCAUUUUCAACCGUGCAAGGACUGUAUAGCCAGUCCAGGUCCUUAAGAACUACCAUCAUCCGACUCUUUGGAGCUUAUUUUAGUCAUUUAUUCUGCUAACUUCGUUCAACUUCC